GGGAAAGCCAAAGAAAAAGGGAAGUGUGAAUGUUCCAACCGGGAAAGCAGCUUAAGAGGAAUACCCAUUCUAGCCUAUAGUUCGUGGGAAACUGGACUACUAGUAUUUGGAAUGUUGCUUGGAGGACACAGAGACAAAGCAAAAGCAAGUGGGAAACCCAGAAAGUGCCCUUUCAGAGGAGACCUAAAUCUGAUCUGCGGACUGAAGCCAAGCUCAGUGGAGACCAACUAAGAUCAGCAGGACUGUGGAUACUCUGGGAUUCUUUGAAGUGCAAUAUUCAACCUUCAUACAGCGUGAGUAAGAAAUACAUACUUCUUGUUGUAUAUGUCACUAAGGCGAUUUGUGUUUGUUUUUAUUGCACAUAUGCUAGUGAAUGCCGACUAAUACAUGUUUUAUCCCAUCUGCUUGUUC